GUGAUGGAAAUCGCUAUUUCA
rnacentral:miRNA from 1 species